rnacentral:lncRNA from 1 species
AUAAUUUUUAGCCCAUACGAAAAUUAUGUUAGCCCCGACAAGAUGCUGCUCUCCCUUCGCUCCAUCACGCAUCUCUGCGAUGCCAUGCCACAUAUAUUGGGCUUGUUUCAACCAUGAUCUUUAAGGAAAAUUAAGAAUCCAACACAUCAUCGAUUAGUCAUAUGAUCAAGUCCAAUCGGGUCAAAAAAUAGAUCCAGGAAAAUGGUAAAACUAAAAUUAUAUACGGAGGGGAAUUAAAUCAAUGGAAUUUUCAGAGCAGAUCCAUGUCCUAAUUAAAUUUUGAAAGCAUGGUCUGCAUGUACCAUCAAUUAGGCCAAGAGUUCAGCAAAAAUAAAGAAAAAAUAGAGAAAAGCGUCGGUAGUAGUAGCGCCAGAACGCCCGCUCAGGAGCAGCUAGUGCUGCGGCGUCGCUGGAGGAAGGCUCCCACGCUAUCGACAUGCCCAUCUCCGCCAUCGCGCAUCGGCGCCGACGACCAGCUAAGGAGGCGCCGCGAAGGAUCUUGACGACGC